UACGGAGGGUCCAAGCGUUAUCCGGAUUUAUUGGGUUUAAAGGGUGCGCAGGCGGGAGAUUAAGUCGGCGGUGAAAUUUUGCAGCUCAACUGUAAAAGUGCCUUCGAAACUGGUUUCCUUGAGUGUAGAUGAAGUAGGCGGAAUUUGUGGUGUAGCGGUGAAAUGCAUAGAUAUCACGAGGAACUCCGAUUGCGCAGGCAGCUUACUAAACUACUACUGACGCUCAGGCACGAAGGCGUGGGGAUCAAACAGGAUUAGAUACCCUGGUAGU
rnacentral:rRNA from 1 species